rnacentral:rRNA from 1 species
CAGCCGCCGCGGUAAUACGUAGGGUACAAGCGUUAAUCGGAAUUACUGGGCGUAAAGCGUGCGCAGGCGGUUAUAUAAGUCAGAUGUGAAAUCCCCGGGCUCAACCUGGGAACUGCAUUUGAGACUGUAUGGCUAGAGUGUGUCAGAGGGGGGUAGAAUUCCACGUGUAGCAGUGAAAUGCGUAGAUAUGUGGAGGAAUACCGAUGGCGAAGGCAGCCCCCUGGGAUAACACUGACGCUCAUGCACGAAAGCGUGGGGAGCAAACAGGACUAGAUACCCCAGUAGUCCCUGUCUCUUAUAC